rnacentral:rRNA from 1 species
GAGGAAGGCUCGUCCGCUCAGGGUUAGUCGGGACCUAAGCCGAGGCCGAUAGGCGUAGGCGAUGGACAACAGGUAGAGAUUCCUGUACCAGUGCUAAUUGUUUAACCGAUGGGGUGACACAGAAGGAUAGGGAAUCGCACGAAUGGAAAUGUGCGUCCAAGCAGUGAGUGUGAGAAGUAGGCAAAUCCGCUUCUCGCGAAGCAUGAGCUGUGAUGGGGAAGGAAAUUAAGUACGGAAGUUCCUGAUUUCACGCUGUCAAGAAAAGCCUCUAGGAAGAGUAGUACUGCCCGUACCGCAAACCGACACAGGUAGAUGAGGAGAGAAUCCUAAGGUGAGCGAGAGAACUCUCGUUAAGGAACUCGGCAAAAUGACCCCGUAACUUCGGGAGAAGGGGUGCUCUAUUAGGGUGCAAGCCCGAGAGAGCCGCAGUGAAUAGGCCCAGGCGACUGUUUAGCAAAAACACAGGUCUCUGCAAAACCGUAAGGUGACGUAUAGGGGCUGACGCCUGCCCGGUGCUGGAAGGUUAAGAGGAGUGCUUAGCUUCGGCGAAGGUACGAAUUGAAGCCCCAGUAAACGGCGGCCGUAACUAUAACGGUCCUAAGGUAGCGAAAUUCCUUGUCGGGUAAGUUCCGACCCGCACGAAAGGCGCAACGAUCUGGGCACUGUCUCAACGAGAGACUCGGUGAAAUUAUAGUACCUGUGAAGAUGCAGGUUACCCGCGACAGGACGGAAAGACCCCGUGGAGCUUUACUGCAACCUGAUAUGGAAUGUUUGUACCGCUUGUACAGGAUAGGUAGGAGCCGAAGAGACGUGUGCGCUAGCAUACGAGGAGGCAAUGGUGGGAUACUACCCUGGCUGUAUGACCAUUCUAACCCGCCACGCUUAGCGCGUGGGGAGACAGUGUCAGGUGGGCAGUUUGACUGGGGCGGUCGCCUCCUAAAGAGUAACGGAGGCGCCCAAAGGUUCCCUCAGAAUGGAUGGAAAUCAUUCGCAGAGUGUAAAGGCACAAGGGAGCUUGACUGCGAGACUGACAAGUCGAGCAGGGACGAAAGUCGGGCUUAGUGAUCCGGUGGUUCCGCAUGGAAGGGCCAUCGCUCAACGGAUAAAAGCUACCCCGGGGAUAACAGGCUUAUCUCCCCCAAGAGUCCACAUCGACGGGGAGGUUUGGCACCUCGAUGUCGGCUCGUCGCAUCCUGGGGCUGUAGUCGGUCCCAAGGGUUGGGCUGUUCG